CUCUUUUCUCUCUCUGUCUCCCUUAUCCUCUUGUCUCUCUCCCGUCCCCCACGCCUCUGCUCCCUCCCAGCCGAGAUCCACUUCUACCUCCCGCCGUUCCCCAAGCCGCCGACGAGCACCAUCUCAAGCUCCGCCGCCCUACCUCCGUCUCCUUCCUCCUGCCUAUAUUCCUCGUUCUCUAUCUAUCCCCUAUGCCUCAUCCCUUGCCCUCUCCCUCUCAGGACCCGACGCCAUGGACGGCUGCGGAGCUUCGCGCCACCCGUCGUCAGCCGCAUCGCCGCCCCAAGGGAUUCGUGCGCAUGGCCGCUUGAGCCGCCCGCGUGCUAGAUCCAUCCGCCCGUGUGUACCGCCCCAGCAGCAGGUUCGGCAAUGACUCUCGGCCCAGCCGUGUCACUACUCCUGCCCAAGCCGGCCUCCGCUUUCGGACCCCGCCACCGGCGCGUUGGCAUGCCCGUCCUCAUCGCACUGUUGCUGCAUCUAGUAUGCUUGCUGGCUGUGACAGGGGCCCUGUACACAUUUGGUUUGGUUGCAGCGCUGCAACUUCCCGGUGGAUCUAGGCUGCCCAUGCUAGCAAUGUGUGUGUUGCUUUCUUGAUGCAUUUUAAGUGGAUCUGAAUUUGAUGUAUUCUCGCACUUGUCCGUGUGUGAAUCUGAUGUGGAGAACACUUAGAAGUUGCUACUCGUAGGAUAUUCUUGCUCGUAUGUAUACAUGUGAAGAAUGACUAGCUUGUAAAUCCGUUUUUUUGUUAAAGAAAUAUACAUUCAUUUUCAUUGGA
rnacentral:rRNA from 1 species